UACGGAGGGAGCUAGCGUUGUUCGGAAUUACUGGGCGUAAAGCGCGCGUAGGCGGCUUUGUAAGUUAGAGGUGAAAGCCCGGGGCUCAACUCCGGAACUGCCUUUAAGACUGCAUCGCUUGAAUCCGGGAGAGGUGAGUGGAACUCCGAGUGUAGAGGUGAAAUUCGUAGAUAUUCGGAAGAACACCAGUGGCGAAGGCGACUCACUGGCCCGUUACUGACGCUGAGGCGCGAAAGCGUGGGGAGCAAACAGG
rnacentral:rRNA from 1 species